GCACUGCUGAGGAUUCCACAAUAGGACGAAACGGUCGUCCAGUGC
rfam:Schistosoma mansoni strain Puerto Rico chromosome 1, complete genome